AGAUGAUAAUAAUUACACUACUAAAUCCCUGACACUGUGCUUACCAGGCGCUCUGUGUAAGACCUCACUUAAUCCUCAUAUUAUUCCUGUUUUACAUGUGAGGACAGAGACCCCAUAGAGGUGACUUCCCAUAUUCAUCUGACUCCCUGCUCUGAUGGCCUGUCACCCACGGGCACUUACUCAGGCGGACCCUGUCCACCUUCUGACACCGGGAAGCAUGAUGCGUAUCUUGGUGGCCAGAUCUUCUUUCUGCUCAUCUGGGCUGCCAGUGUCCCGCCCACUCUUGCACCCCGCCAGGCUGUGGGGGUGCCUUCCUGCGUAUGUGUCACAGGAACAGGGGCGAUCUUGACCAGAGGGGUGGAGCAGAAGAGGGGCGUUGGGGAGCAGAAGAUGGUGGCUUGUGCCUGUACAAGAGGGCAGACCGCGAGGCUGGGGCAGCGGGAAGGGCGAGUGCACACGCGGGAACCCAGGGAGGGGAGGGCUCCCUGGGUGGCACGGCGGCAGCAGUACUGAACUUCACCAGGGGCACCUUUACCCCAGUCAGCCCGGCCCACCCUGCCAGCCUUCCUGGGCCUCGCAGACGCGGGCCUCUGGUUUGUAUUUAUCUUCCUGUGUCCUGGAGAGGUGACUGAGGGACGCUUCAGCCUCUCGGUCCCUGGGGACAGGAGGACUUCUGAGACGGGCAGGAGGAACCAUUUAUUUUGCUUUGCUAAAUGCCAUGGGCACCUUCCCGUGCCCACGUUGACAAGCAUGUGUCAAGGGCCAAUGUGUCCACCAGAGUUCACAUGCUGAGUCUUAACCCUGGAGCUCAGAGUGGACUGCAGAAGCACCCAACCUCGGAAGGUGCGAUUUACACGUUAAACUCCGUCAUGCUGCAGAGUUGGAAUCAUUCGGUAGAAGCUGCACUUGGAACGUUGAAUCUGAUCCUUCCUGGGUUGGUGACAUGUGGGAGGUCCUGUUUUGCACAGCUGGGCAGUUCUCUCAGCCCUGCCACCACCAGGGGAGCAAGUGACCCUCUGCAGCGUGCCGUGCUGCUGAGCGGGCUCUUGGGUGGAUCCGGGGCAUUUGAUGCAUUUCGACUCAGUGUAUUUUCAACUUACAAUGGACUUAUUGGGGGUGACCCCUUCAUACUCAAAGGGCUUCUGUAUUUGGUGUCUUUCCAGAAAUGAUUAAGCGGUCACCAGGGUGGCCUCACCCUACAAGACUGGUGUCCUAAGAGAGACAGCCAUGUGAGGGCUCAGGAGGGGAUGUCCAUGGAGGGGCCUCAGAGGAAACCAGCCAAACCUUGAUCUCAGACUCCCGGCCUCCAGGACUGGGUUGUUGAAGUCACCCAGACGAGGGCACUUGGUCAUAUGGCCCAAGAAGAUGGGCUUUCCACCCCCCCCACCCCCACAGGUUGAGGCCAUUAGCUCUCAAUCUCUGGUCAACACCAGAAUCACCUGGAGGCUUACUUAAUGGGCAGAUGCAGGGGCCCGGGGCAUGGCCGAAACCUGCAUGCUCACUGGUGCACGCUACUGAUGCUGACACUGGACCUCGGGUGGGAUACCCUGCCAUGGGACGACAGGGACUUGCCGGGCCACCCUCAUGUCCCUAGUCCCCACAGUCCUGCCGGCUCCUGCCAUCUCAACUUCAAAACGAUGAGGCUGAGUGUCUUUAGACUGUUGGUUUUGCCUGCAGGGCCCCGGGCAGGGUCAGGGGGCCCUGUGAUCCUUGCAGGGCAUGCUGUGGCCAGGAGGCCACCGGCUGAGGAUGUGGCGGAGGGAGCAGCUUUCUCUCUCCCUCAGGACACUUUGUAAAGUCAGAAAGCGGGAGGGGGUGAGAGAGCCACGCUAGGCGCAAUCCAACACGGAGACCCUUGUUUGGUGACGGAGGGGUCAGACAGGGGACAGGGGGCUGUUAUCUCUGGAGACCUUUGACAAAGCACACGUUUCCCUUUGAGGAAGCGCUCGGGGGCCGGGCCUGGGUUUAAUAAUGGAGCCCUCACACAGGAGAGGUGAGGUCUGGACGGCUCUGUCUGCUGAGAGCUGUCUAAUCCUGAUAAAUGGAGCCCCGUCCUUCCCACUGUGAACAG